CGGUAACAGGAAACAGCUUGCUGUUUCGCUGACGAGUGGCGGACGGGUGAGUAAUGUCUGGGAAACUGCCUGAUGGAGGGGGAUAACUACUGGAAACGGUAGCUAAUACCGCAUAACGUCGCAAGACCAAAGAGGGGGACCUUCGGGCCUCUUGCCAUCGGAUGUGCCCAGAUGGGAUUAGCUAGUAGGUGGGGUAACGGCUCACCUAGGCGACGAUCCCUAGCUGGUCUGAGAGGAUGACCAGCCACACUGGAACUGAGACACGGUCCAGACUCCUACGGGAGGCAGCAGUGGGGAAUAUUGCACAAUGGGCGCAAGCCUGAUGCAGCCAUGCCGCGUGUAUGAAGAAGGCCUUCGGGUUGUAAAGUACUUUCAGCGGGGAGGAAGGGAGUAAAGUUAAUACCUUUGCUCAUUGACGUUACCCGCAGAAGAAGCACCGGCUAACUCCGUGCCAGCAGCCGCGGUAAUACGGAGGGUGCAAGCGUUAAUCGGAAUUACUGGGCGUAAAGCGCACGCAGGCGGUUUGUUAAGUCAGAUGUGAAAUCCCCGGGCUCAACCUGGGAACUGCAUCUGAUACUGGCAAGCUUGAGUCUCGUAGAGGGGGGUAGAAUUCCAGGUGUAGCGGUGAAAUGCGUAGAGAUCUGGAGGAAUACCGGUGGCGAA
rnacentral:rRNA from 1 species